GCUUGAAUAGCUUAGUUGGUAAAGCGUUGGAUUCUUAAAUCAUAGGUACAAGGUUCAAGUC
rfam:Drosophila simulans chr3R_Mrandom_025 genomic scaffold.